CUCUCUCACUCUCACCUUUUCUUACCAACGCUGCCUCGCUUUCUCUCUAUAUCUGCGCUUCCCUAGUUAAGAUUUCUUUUUUUUUUGUUCGUCUACCCUUUCACACAAAGCCGCUUUCUUCACCCCUUGCGUCCAUCUGUCCCUCCCCCUCUGCCGCCUCCCCCACACACCGGCACCACAUCUCACAUAACAUGUGAGCUGAUCAUCAUCGCACCUCGUAGGAGCACUCGUACUUUGGCCACUACCCCCAUCCACCCGCCAUCUUUAUCUCGCAAGCGCGGCAAUACGGCAGCUAAAAGGCAAAAACAAAAAUGCAGAACUCCGUAGGCGACGUGAUCAACCUCAUCAGCAAGAGUGAGAUCCGCUAUGAGGGUCAGCUGCACUCUAUCAACACUGAGGAAAACACCGUGAGCCUGUCGAAUGUGCGUAUCUACGGUACCGAGGGCCGCAAGGGCGGCGGCGUGGAAGAGGUGCCGCCAACGGAGCAGCUGUUCGAAUUCAUCGUGUUCCGCGGCUCCGAUAUCAAGGACCUGACGGUCUUCCGCGACAGCAGCUCUCCGCAGGCGCGCGACCCUGCUAUUGUGGAGGUGCACGCCCCAGCGCGCGGUCGUGGAGGACGCGCCGCAGCCGCGGCUCCUGCAGCUUCGGCGACGGCGGCGAGCAGCGCUGCCACUCGUGGCAGCCGCUCCUUCUACGACGAGGCUCAGUCGUACAACCGCGGUGGCGGUGGCGGUGGCGCGCGCCGUGGUGGCUACGGCGCCGGUCGCUACAAUAACAAUAACGGCGGCGGCAACAACAACAGCAACAACAACCGCAAUCACCGCGGCGGCUACGGCGGUCGCGGCGGAUCGGGCAACUACCGGCGCAACUACCGCGACUACCACACCGGCCAGGACUUCAAGCCCGCGGACGUCGGCGCAACGGAGAAGUUCGAGGGAGAUUUCGAUUUUGCCAAGUGCCGCGAGGAGUUCGAGAAGAAAAAGAGCGAGUUCGAGAAGGCCAAGGAGGAUGCCAAAUCUCACGCCAAGGCCUACGACAAGAGCAGCUUCUUCGACACCAUCUCGUGCGACCAGAAGGAGAAGAACAGCAUGAAUCGUGCCGAAAUGCGCAAGGCGGACACCGAGACCUUCGGGUCAGAGAUGGUGAGCAGCAUGCGCGGCUUCCGUCGCGGCCGCGGCGGUCGUGGACGCUACCAGCAGCGUUGAGCGCGCUAGCGACACUGAGCAUAGAGGAGGGAGAGGAUGGAGUGUGUGGAAGAGUGCGAGAGCGGUGCCAAGGGCACCGGCUCGUCGUCAUCUGCCUCCUCGCGCACAGCGAAACGUGGAUGCGCUGAUGGCGACACGAAAAAUGCAAAAAAAAAAGGUUACUUGUACCACCCACCUCCUUCUGUGCUUGGCUGUCGUCCUCCUCGCGCACAUGAAUGGCAUUACACGCUAAACUGCGGCGCUGAUAACACAUUGAGAAGCGGAGAGAGAAAAACGGAAAGUGCUAUGGCGCACACUGCGUGCAGUAGCUGCAGCCGGCGAGGAUGGUCCGGACGGGACAUAGGUGCGAGACGCAGAAGCGAGGAGUACAGAUUCUGAAGCGAGAAGGCGAGGGAGAGGCCGAGGGACGAAGGAGGGGGGAGGGAACAUGUCGGACCCUCCUGACGGUCUUGGAUGAUCUUUUUGCACCCUCGCUUCUCUCUCAGUGCUGGCGCUCUAUCUCGCCCGUCUCUCCCACCCCUCGCCACGUGGUUCGCUGUGCCUCAUCCGUUCUCUGGAAGACUCUCCCUCGACGCCCAUGCAAUGCCGAGCCAGAGAGAGGGAAACAAAGAAGGAUCACGUCGGCGUCGACUGUGACAUACGUGUAUGCGUCCCUCACCUUGCAUAAGCACACACACACACACACACUUAAACACAACCUAGCCUCUCUACAUGUAUGCCGAACUGGCAUUCCCACGUACGCACCCCCGACCGGAGCAGCAUGCGACAACAACAACAACACAUCCGUGCAAGAUGCAUUUUUGAGGUGCUGUGCGCACCUCUUAUUUCUACACGCCUUUUUUUUGUUUGGCUUCUUUGUUGUUUCUGUUUUCUCCCUUCCUCUUUUUCUCACGUGUGUGAGGCGGUUCUCCACCCCCACCCCAUCCCAUGGACUCCAUGUGUGCUCCUCUUGUCAUCUUUUUCUCCCCAUCUCUCUGGACGCCUUCUUUGCAUCUCCCGCCGCACUCGCUGUGCGCCUGCGUGAAUGCGCUGCCCACCUGAGUGCGUUUCUCACCGCCACCACAGCAGAGCGGGAGCAGGGCAAGAAAACAACGAGAGAAGCGGAGUAAUAAGCAAGGGAUGACUGUAUCGCUCAGUUCCACCACCGCCUAGCGUCGCUCCUUCAUUUCGUUCCUCGCCGGCGUCACUGCCUUACCGCCGUCGAGGUUUUCCUCUCUUCCACCUCCUCUCCUUGGCCCGCGCUCUCUCUCUCGUUUUAUUUUAUUUUGUUGUUGGGUUGUCUCUCCUCUUCUCUCGCUCUUGUCCGUGGUGCGCCCCUUCUCGUCGUAGUUGCUCAUCUCGCUGCCCUCCCCUUCCCUCCCUUUCUCUCGCCGUCCGCCUUAUUUCCUCCUCUCCUUUGUUUGUUUCUUCGACAUGAACGUGUGGGGUCUUUUACGUUUCUUUUUUUUAUGUUGCGCCCACGUGUGCGUGUGCGUUUUGUUCGCCUCCCUCACUUGUGCAUGUGUUGUGUGUGUGUGUUUCUGUUUUUCAUAGUUUCCAUUUAUGUGUUCUUCCUCGUCUUAUCAGUCUUUCAUCUCUUCGCUUUCUUUGUGUGGUUUCGUAUCGCAACACCAUUACCGCCACCGCCACCAUUGCCACCGGUACCGUCUCUCCUUCCUCUCUCUCUCUCUCGAUCGUCUAUGCCCAUAUGGUUUCGUGUGUGUGUGUGUGUGUGUGCGCAUGCGUGGGUGGGUGAAUGCCGGAGCGCGUGUCUGCGUGCUGUCUUGCUGUUUUUCCCCCUUUUUCCCCUUUGAUUGGGUGCGUUUGCGGCAUUUUCUUUCUCUUUUUCUCUCGCACGCACACGCGCACGCUCUCUUUCUCCCUUUCCUGUUCGAAACAAACACCAAAAAAAAGGAAGAAAGGCGGAGCGAGAAGAGCGCUUCGCUCGCCCUGCCUCGCUUUCCCGUUCUUUGCUUGCACGCCCCUCCCCCCUCCUCCUCCUCCCCUUUCCUUUGGUUUAUAUAUAUAAAUAUGUUUUGUUGUUUGUCUUUCUCUCGUCUUUCCGCCUUUUUUUUUUGUUUCGUCGUAGGACUCUUCGGCUGCAUGCGUUUUCUGCUUUUUUUUUGUGCUGGACUUGUAUGGUUUACUUGCCCCACUCUCUCUCUCUCUGUGUGCGCAUGCGUGCCUGCGGCAGUUUGCGCUCGCGAGCGAGUCUCCAUGAUCUGUUUGCUUCUCCGUCCAUACACAUACGCACGCACAUACACUCGGCACCGUGUUUAUACGCGCGUACUUCCUCACACAUAUUUCGUGGCAGACCCGAGCAGACGCAUCGAUAAGGACGGAAGAAUCCCCCUCCCUAAAGAAGAAAAAAGUUGAUAUAUGAAGAGAGUGAGCCUUGAGAGAGAGGGAUAUACUUACGCUACUGUGGCGAGGAAGUCCUUGCCCCUCCUUCCCCCUUCCGCCCUUUCCAGAAAGGGCGAAAGGAAAAAAAGACGUGGGGCGGCCAUAAAGAGAAAGAGAGCGCGAGAGCACGAGAGAGCGAGAGCCCAACGAAACAAGCGAAGGGCAAAGGUACGGAUGCAACCAAACAAAAUAUAUAAUACCCAUCGGAGGAGGACGAGGAGCCACGAGCAGUCGUGAUUCAUGUGUGCGUGUGAGCCUGUCUGUCUGUAUUGACGAGGACGUGAAGAGCGCACGGCGAUGUGUUGUUGGAGUCUGUGGGGGGAUUUUUUUCACUUUUCUUGUUGCUUCACAGUGUACCGUACCCCCUCUUCCUCUUGUGUUUGUCGUUAUCCCUUGAGCAACUGGCCACUUAACUUCCAACCUUUCCACACGGACCGCCUUCCUCCUGCUCGCCUCCGCACACCAACGUACAUACCCGACCAAGGCCAUCCAGGCACGUGCCCGACAAAAACGAAAGAGACACGGGGGGAUCUACAAGUAAACACAGUUACAUGUACGCGGUUCCUGCCUCUGCGUGCAUGUAAUUAAGUGUUCGUAGGCCUGUUAACACGUCUGCGCCUGAUUCUUUCUUACCGUACGCGUGUGUGUGGAGGCGUGUGCACGCACCUCUGUGAUUGUGUAUGUGCUCUUGCUCAAGAAAAAGGAGCGGAUCUGCGUGGGUGAGUGGUCUGGGUGCAUGCGCCGCGCUUCAGUAUGUGUAUGCUUGUGCAUAUGCAUGGCUGCGCAAGAUAAAAGGACUACGUGCGUAUGUGAAUGUGAGCUUGUGUGGUCGUGUGCGCCCGUGUGUGUCUGCACAACGUUGUGUACAUGCUGUCUUACUGCCGAACUCUUUUCCCCCUUGCCCGUUGCCCUGGUGCCGACGUCGAAAGAGGAGAGAAUGGUGGCGAAUCAGUCGAGCGGGUAGUAGUAAUCGGAUAACGGCGGUGCCUGGCACGUACUGUUAGAGAGGCUGUGACUGGCUCCUUCUUCAGUAUGCUGCCCUCCUGCCCCUCUCCGGAUGCGCGCACGGGUUGGACGGUUGGCUGCGUUGAUGCCUCUGCAUCUGUUGCGUAGUCCCUGUGUGUGCGCAGAUACAUGUGUGCAUGCGUGUGUGCGCGCUCGUUUCUUUAGCAAGGGAAAACACAAAGAGAAAAGCGGCCGACGAGGGAAAAACAGAGAGAAGACGAGAAUGCGGAGCAAUAAUGGAACACACGCACACACACAAAAGCAAGAAUUUCGGGAAGAGAAAAAGAGAGAUGAAAGCGAUCUGAAGGAGACGUGCGAAUUUUGAUCUCUUUUUGUGUAUAUACAUAUAGAUAGACGUGUGUGUGUGUGCUUAUCUGGUGUUCCCUCUACCACCAUAGAUGUCCGCCGAAUACACACACACACACACACACACACUCAUCCUCAUCUCUCACGGAGACCAUUAUCUCGACAUGCAGCCGAAUGAACGGAAAAGGAAAAAAAGGAAAUCCGGAUCUCAGUCUUCCAUCGUCGGCUGUGCCUUCUUCAUUUUUUUCCCCCGCUUGCCCCUCGAAAACACGCACGCACACGCGCGCACAAUGACACAUAGGCGUGCAUGAAUGCUUAGGCAACCGUGUGCUUGUGCGUGUUCUUUUCUUGUUUUCUGUCUUGUCUUGCUCGUUUUCUCUUGCAUUCCCCUCCUCUUCUCCUCAGUUGUGAAUGCGCCUCUGCCCCCACACGCACACACUAGUGCCGACUGUGUCGUCUACACCCCACACCCCGAGUGUGUCUCUCUUUCUCUCGCUUUUUUUUUGCGUGUGCUGGUAUGUGUUUUGUUUGUGUGCGAGUUUCUCGUUUUCUUUGUGUUGUUGUUAGUCCCCCUUUUUUGUUUUAUUAUUAGCUUCCAUUUGCCUUUUUCGAAUUCUUUUUUUUCGUCGCUUCCUGCGUUGUUGUUGUUGGGUUGUCUCUGUCUCUGUGUCUGUGUCUGCCUGUGUCUGUCUGCGUGUGUGUGUGUGUGUGCGUGCACGGCUGUCUGGUAGGCCUCAUCUCCUCUGUUCACGUUUUCGCACCUCCUCUUUUCCUCUGCAUCUUUUCGUUUUGGUAUGUGCGCUUUCUCAAAAAAAAAGCGGAAAAAUGCAGCCAAACGACGUCUCUCUCUGUGUUUGCCCGUGCGUCUAUAAGUGCGCGCUCCUUUUUUUUUGUGUACCGGGUGAUCGCCACGCUGGGACGGUUGGCAGUACUUUGCGCGUGUGUGUGGUGCCGCGUGUGCUGACGUUCUCCAUAUAUGAAUGCGCAGUUUUUUUUUUGUUGUUGUUCUUUUACCUUGACGUUGCUCCACCUUACAACUCUUUUUUUUUUUCAUUUUGUUUUGAGUGCCGGCUCGAUGACCUCAACAUACUGCAAUGCAUCCACGCGCUCCUCUCGCUCUGUGUCUUCCAACUUCCCACGCGAGGCGAACGCUGUCGACGGAAGAGUGUUUAGGGGAGAGAGAGUUGCGUGAAGGUGGUGAGGGGAGGGAGGGGGAGAGUCUCUUCCCUUUCUCGUCUUGGUCGCUCAUUCGCAUCGACGCACCAGCGCACACACGCACGCGCAUGCAACCGUCAUGGCGGGAAAAAACGCUCCUACGAUACAUCCACUUGCCCACAAAGAGGAGUGGAGGCGCGAGCGGGAGAGACGGAGAGGCAGAAAGGGAGCGCGCUUGGGCGACACUGGUCAAGUGGUUCAACACACACACAAACACACAUACACACGCGUACAAACACAAAGAGAGAGAGAGUAAUGGCGUGCCGCCUUCAUGCGCGCACAAACGGAGAGAGCGGGGGCAAGAGGGAGUAGACAGGGCUCAAGUAUGAAAAACCUGUACCUCUACCCCCAGUGGAACCGCAUUCUCUCGGACAUCAAUGCAGAAGUAUUUAAACACACCCGCGCACGGACUCGCACGAGCACACGAAAACACUUGGAAAUUUCGCAGAUGUCAAGGGCACACGGCGACAGGACGCAGAGGAAGAACGAAGGUCAAGACCGCACAGUAAACAAGGGCGCAAGUAAAACUGGCAGCACGGGCUUCGAUGAGCAAAGACGGAGAAAGACGCUAAAAUGUAUGUAACUGUUUAAGCUCAGAAUGAAGAGAAAAAGAAAAAAGAAAGCGCUGCACUGCAUCCGACCUUUCUCAUGUCUUCGUCUUUCUUUGUUCUUUCUAUCGUUCUCUGUGUGUUUGUCUGUGCGUGCGUGCGGUGUGUGCGUAUGUGUGCGCAUCCGUGUAUACAUGCAUGUGUGUGCGUGUGCGCGUGUAUUCUCGUGAGAGGCCGAUUCUCUGCGAGUCCCAUGUUUCCUUUUUUUCGUCGUUGUUUGGUUUCCUUUUUUUUGUUGUUGUGCCGUGGGGUCACUCUUUGUUUGUUUCUUCCCAUUUGUUUUCCGUGUUUGAUGUUCACGAGAGAGAGGAGAGGGAAACAAAGGAAUGGAGUACGCACAUCCCGUGUUUGAUUAAAACCCCUCCCCCGAUCUGCCCCCCUCCACCUCCAAACAAACAAACCACAAACAACGAAGGCAGAGGCAUGCGUCCUCGAAAAAAAAAAACACUAAACAAGCCGAACAAAAAGGAGCCGAGCAGCGUACAUUCGUUUGCUUUGUGGGAGUCUUCAUCGACAACCCGACGUGAGUUCUCGGCUGCGGUUGGUCGGGCCGCGCCAGGCAGGUACCGCGUCGGAUGCCGGUGAUGAAGACUGGGCGAAAAGGGUAGAUUGAUCUCCCCCAUUCUCUCUCGCGCUUUCUCGGACACGGACUCUCUGCAGAUGACCCUGUCCAGGAAGCGGAGGGAAGCCACAGAUACGAGGCUGGCGAGAGGGGCUUGAGGGGAGGGGGACAUUCGCAGCUCCUUCUCUGCUCCUUCCGCUGUGCUUCGCCUUCCGAGAAUACGCUUUAUCUCGAAUGGCUCCGUUGUGCUCUAUGCUCGGGGGUGUCGACUGGUGGCAGAGAGGUCAGCCUUGUCGAUGAUGCGCGUAACGCGCGCGCAAGCGUUCGCC
rnacentral:misc_RNA from 1 species